rnacentral:rRNA from 1 species
CAUAGUCAAAUCACGAGGGUGAUCCUGGCUCAGAAGGAACGCUAGCGAUAUGCUUAACACAUGCAAGUCGAACGUUCGUUGAACCCAUAUUGAGCGUCUGUCCUGGCCCGCCCCUCCUGGCCUUCCCUGGAUGUAACGACCUGGAAAAACCUGGGGAGGUGGGAAAACCUGGAAACAAAGGGACGCGGGAACAUGACCAAAACCAAAUGGAACACGUUGGGCGAACGGGUGCGUAACGCGUGGGCUUGAGCGCAUCUGCCGAACAGUGCGGGAGCUAGCUGUUUGAGGAGCCUGCGUCGUAUUAGGUAGUUGGUCAGUGAAUAGCGGGCCAAGCCAUUGAUGCGUUGCUGGUCUUGUCGGAUGAGCAGCCACACUGGGAAUGAGAAGGACGGACUCCGGUUUGGGGAGGAAGCAGUGGGGAAUCUUGGACAAUGGUUCGACGACCGAUCCAGCAAUAUAGCGUGAGUGAACCGACGGGCGAGAUACGCUUGUAAAGCUUGUUCAAUCGACUGGGGCGAUAGCGAUCAUGACAGAACUGGGUUUGAAGCCCCGGCCAACUCCGUGCCAGCAGCCGCGGUAAGACGGGGGGGGCAAGUGUUCUUCGGAAUGACUGGGCGUCAAGGGCAAGUGGGCGGUGGUCGAGUGGUGGGAUUGUCUGUUGCCUGACUGGCUAGCCUAGGUUCAACACCAAUGCCACUGGAGUCACCCGAGUAGAGUGGAAUGUCUCGUUGGGGAGGGGUCAAAUCCGGAGAUCGAAGAUGGAACGCCGAUGAAGCGAAGGCAGCUCUAUUGGGCAGCACGGACGCUGAUUGGUUGCGACAGCACGGGGAGCGAACGGGAUUAGAUACCCCAUUAGUCCUAGCAGUAAACGAUGAGUGUCAGCCCUCCUUGAGCCUGGGUGGGGCUCGAGCACGCUUGGAACACUCCGCCUGGGAAGUACGGUCAGACCGAAACUCAAAGGAAUUGACGGGGGCCUGCACAAGCGGUGGAGCAUGUGGUUUAAUUCGAUACAACGCGCAUCACCUUACCCGCCCGAGUAGGAACGAUCGCCCCUUGGCAGAAACGGAAGCAAUGGGGCCUAUGGGGUACUGUCUGCUUCGGACUCGUGUUCACACCGGUGCUGCAUGGCUGUCGUCAGCGCGUCUCGUGAGAUAGCAAUGGGUCAUCCGAUAACGAGCUCAAUCCUACCUACCUAGUACAGUGUUGCUGAGACAUGCCAGUCGUUCCAAUGUCUCUAUACGCAAGCAGCUGGAAAACCGUGUUCAGGUCCAUCCACUCUUUCAUGGCAUAGGGAAAAAACCUCGCCAAGUACACCAGUGCUAUUGGAUGAGUCAUGGUGGAAUGGAGGUUUUAUGGUUCACUAGUUGGGAGUUGUGGUUGAGUUGAUUUGGCACUUCGGUGGGGGGGGACUGAGUCAUGGGCUGGCGUGCUAAUCACUCUGGACUGCCACUCGAAAAGAUGGAGGUGGUGGGCUGAAGUCAAGUCCGCAUGGCCCGAUGGUCGGGGCGACACACGUGCUACUAGUAGUGGUCCAUUACAAUGGGAAGCAUGGCUGAACGGCUGAGCCAACCCGGUUCGAAGGCAAAGAGGAUACCGCAAUCAAUCGUUCGGAUUGUUCUCUGCAAUCGGGAACAUGAAGUUGGAAUCGCUAGUUAUCGCGGAUCAGCAUGCCGCGGUGAAUCUGUACCCUGGCCCUGUACACACCGCCCGUCACACCCCUUUGCCGGUCGUAGCCCGACGCAUCGAUUCGCACCUCCGUCCCGUUGCUCGAUUCAUGGUGCCAUUGUAUAGCUACGACUCCCAAAGGAUAGCGGGUGUUCGGCCAAUGCGUGUACGUUGUGGUGCUCAUGGUCUGGUUCGAUUCAUGCUAUUGCCAUGACCUUUUGCCCGUGGGGUGAAGUCGUAACAAGGUAGCCGUAGGGGAACCUGUGGCUGGAUUG